AGAGUUUGAUCCUGGCUCAGAUUGAACGCUGGCGGCAGGCCUAACACAUGCAAGUCGAGCGGUAGAGAGAAGCUUGCUUCUCUUGAGAGCGGCGGACGGGUGAGUAAUGCCUAGGAAUCUGCCUGGUAGUGGGGGAUAACGUUCGGAAACGGACGCUAAUACCGCAUACGUCCUACGGGAGAAAGCAGGGGACCUUCGGGCCUUGCGCUAUCAGAUGAGCCUAGGUCGGAUUAGCUAGUGGUGGGGUAAUGGCUCACCAAGGCGACGAUCCGUAACUGGUCUGAGAGGAUGAUCAGUCACACUGGAACUGAAACACGGUCCAGACUCCUACGGGAGGCAGCAGUGGGGAAUAUUGGACAAUGGGCGAAAGCCUGAUCCAGCCAUGCCGCGUGUGUGAAGAAGGUCUUCGGAUUGUAAGGCACUUUAAGUUGGGAGGAAGG
rnacentral:rRNA from 1 species